UACGGAGGAGGCAAGCGUUAUCCGGAAUUAUUGGGCGUAAAGCGUCCGCAGGUGGCACCUCAAGUCUGCUGUCAAAGACCCGGGGCUUAACCCCAGAAAGGCAGUGGAAACUGAAGUGCUAGAGUGCAGUAGGGGUAGAGGGAAUUCCCGGUGUAGCGGUGAAAUGCGAUAGAGAUCGGGAAGAACAUCGGUGGCGAAAGCGCUACUGCGUGGACUGCAACUGACACUCAGGGACGAAAGCUAGGGGAGCGAAUGGG
rnacentral:rRNA from 1 species